rnacentral:tRNA from 1 species
CUUAGCUCAGUUGGUAGAGCAAUGGACUGUUAAUCCAUGUGUCGCUGGUUCAAGCCCAGCA